rnacentral:rRNA from 1 species
GCAAGUCGAGCGGAGAUGAGGUGCUUGCACCUUAUCUUAGCGGCGGACGGGUGAGUAAUGCUUAGGAAUCUGCCAUUUAGUGGGGGACAACAUUCCGAAAGGAAUGCUAAUACCGCAUACGUCCUACGGGAGAAAGCAGGGGAUCUUCGGACCUUGCGCUAAAUGAUGAGCCUAAGUCGGAUUAGCUAGUUGGUGGGGUAAAGGCCUACCAAGGCGACGAUCUGUAGCGGGUCUGAGAGGAUGAUCCGCCACACUGGGACUGAGACACGGCCCAGACUCCUACGGGAGGCAGCAGUGGGGAAUAUUGGACAAUGGGCGGAAGCCUGAUCCAGCCAUGCCGCGUGUGUGAAGAAGGCCUUUUGGUUGUAAAGCACUUUAAGCGAGGAGGAGGCUACUAGUACUAAUACUACUGGAUAGUGGACGUUACUCGCAGAAUAAGCACCGGCUAACUCUGUGCCAGCAGCCGCGGUAAUACAGAGGGUGCGAGCGUUAAUCGGAUUUACUGGGCGUAAAGCGUGCGUAGGCGGCUUUUUAAGUCGGAUGUGAAAUCCCCGAGCUUAACUUGGGAAUUGCAUUCGAUACUGGGAAGCUAGAGUAUGGGAGAGGAUGGUAGAAUUCCAGGUGUAGCGGUGAAAUGCGUAGAGAUCUGGAGGAAUACCGAUGGCGAAGGCAGCCAUCUGGCCUAAUACUGACGCUGAGGUACGAAAGCAUGGGGAGCAAACAGGAUUAGAUACCCUGGUAGUCCAUGCCGUAAACGAUGUCUACUAGCCGUUGGGGCCUUUGAGGCUUUAGUGGCGCAGCUAACGCGAUAAGUAGACCGCCUGGGGAGUACGGUCGCAAGACUAAAACUCAAAUGAAUUGACGGGGGCCCGCACAAGCGGUGGAGCAUGUGGUUUUAAUUCGAUGCAACGCGAAAAAACCUUACCUGGCCCUUGACAUACUAGAAAACUUUCCAGAGAUGGAUUGGGUGCCUUUCGGGAAUCUAGAUACAGGUGCUGCAUGGCUGUCCUUCACCUCGUGUC